UUCACCCUUGCUAAUCAAUCAAAUACACUGAAAAUUUGAAUGGUUAAAUCCUAUCCUGGGAUAUUUUUACAAUCAAACAUACACUUGAAAGAAAUUUCUACAACUUUUGUAUGGAGCAUUUCUCCAUAUAUAAACAGCCUCUAAGACCAUGAAAAAAUAGAUCUAAACUGAACUGAACUUUUCAGAAUUAAAACAGAGUACCGUGAUUCUUAGAUUCAACACGACCGCGUCAUCAGGGCUGGCAAAACUAUUAAAAGAGAUCAAUUACCUCAAUCGGGACCAACUCGUAAUAGGAGAAACCAACCUACUGAUCCGUCUUUCUGCAUUCUUCCCCUGUUCAGAUUCCUCCCACCUCCUACUGCAGCAGCACAAGAAGGACAGCAGCAGCGUAAAAGAGGACACAAGUGUGGAAAGUAUAUGCAUCGUAAUAUGUAUUGAGCCAAGAGGAAAUAGAAAGAUUGACAAAAACUAAGGGAGCUACACAAUUCAAACAGGUGGUGGCUAAAAUUUACAGCAUAUACACAUCAAUCGAUGGUGGAUCAUGCAUUAGGUUCCCAAAAUUCAGGGUGGUGAAUGUUUUUGUUAUCUGACUGCUGUGUAGUUUCUCGGAGAUGGAAACAUCUUUUUUUUUUCAUUUCUAAGACUAGAGUUAUGGUUUGUAAAUUAUAAUAGCAAAAAUCAGAAAGGGUUUUAACUCAA